rnacentral:rRNA from 1 species
CCGCACAAGCGGUGGAGCAUGUGGUUAAUUCGACGCAACGCGAGAACCUUACCAGGGCUUGACUAUCCCCUGACCGCGUAUGAAAGUACGUUUUCACCUCGGGUGACAGGGAGACAGGUGGUGCAUGGUUGUCGUCAGCUCGUGUCGUGAGAUGUUGGGUUAAGUCCCCGCAACGAGCGCAACCCCUACGUUUAGUUGCUAACGCGUGAAGGCGAGCACUCUAGACGAACUGCCGUUGACAAAACGGAGGAAGGUGGGAUGACGUCAAAUCAUCAUGCCCCUUAUGUUCUGGGCUACACACGUGCUACAAUGGCCGGUACAGACGGACGCAAAGCCGCGAGGUGGAGCAAAUCCUAAAAAGCCGGUCUCAGUUCGGAUUGCAGGCUGCAAUUCGCCUGCAUGAAGUCGGAAUCGCUAGUAAUCGCAGGUCAGCAUACUGCGGUGAAUACGUUCCCGGGCCUU